rnacentral:rRNA from 1 species
AUGAACGCUGGCGGCGUGCCUAAUACCUGCCAGUCGAGCGAACAGACGAGGAGCUUGCUCCUUUGACGUUAGCGGCGGACGGGUGAGUAACACGUGGAUAACCUACCUAUAAGACUGGGAUAACUUCGGGAAACCGGAGCUAAUACCGGAUAACAUGUUGAACCGCAUGGUUCAACAGUGAAAGACGGUCUUGCUGUCACUUAUAGAUGGAUCCGCGCCGCAUUAGCUAGUUGGUAAGGUAACGGCUUACCAAGGCAACGAUGCGUAGCCGACCUGAGAGGGUGAUCGGCCACACUGGAACUGAGACACGGUCCAGACUCCUACGGGAGGCAGCAGUAGGGAAUCUUCCGCAAUGGGCGAAAGCCUGACGGAGCAACGCCGCGUGAGUGAAGAAGGUCUUCGGAUCGUAAAACUCUGUUAUUAGGGAAGAACAAAUGUAUAAGUAACUAUGCACGUCUUGACGGUACCUAAUCAGAAAGCCACGGCUAACUACGUG